GUGCUUGCCCAGCAGCACACACACUAAAAUUGGAAUGAUGCAGAGAAGAUUAGCAUGACCCCUGCGCCAGGAUGAUAUGCAAAUUCGUGAAGCGUUCCAUAUUUUU